GCGCGAGCCGCGGGUCCGGUCUCACCUUUUUUCUGCUCCGGGGCGGCCCCCAGGUGUAGAGAAGGGUGAUCCAUGUGACGCGCCUUACAUCCUCCUUACCUGUGUGGGUUUGUCCAUCCACCCUAGAGCAGCGACCAAUUCUGAUUUCUAGCCGGGUCCCCAGCACCUCGACACAAAGGAGAAGCAGUAUGCACACUGAGCAAAAAGGCCUGCAGCCGAGAUGGCAGCAAAAGGUAUGUGGUUGUGCAUCUUCGGGAAGAAUUCCUACCAGUGAGAUUGUCAGAUUAGAAGCUACACUGAGUCUUGGACUGUGUCUCUGUGAGGUCACACAUCGUGAUGGAAACUGAAAACUAAGAGUUGAUCCUUCUGUCUAUAUCUCAGAAUGCUAACAGGAAAGCCUAACAAAACUGGAAUUCACCUAAGAAAAGAUGAAUGAGGGGUGAUAUAACUAAAGAGAAGAUCAUUCUAAACUUCAAAAGAAUACUGUGAUCAACUAAAAGACCUUUUAUCAGAGAGAAGUGUGAGAAAAUUGCUAACAGGAUUUGUGGGAAUUGCUUCUAGCAAAACUAAAGGAGAUGUGAGUGCAACACUCAUUUGAACAGAUUCAUCAAUGUCUGUUGCUUUUGCAGUCCUUUUCCUUUUCAAAUGUCUAUUUCAGCCUGUACAACAGUAGUUUUUUUUUUCUACUCACUAGUAAAUGACCUUUAUUUCAUAAUCUGUAUGAUGUCCUCUCCCCUGAAAUAGCCACUGACAAGGUUAUUUUCUAUUUGUCCUUUAUAAUUUGCACCACCCUGUCUGCACUGAGUGACCCAGGCCACUGGGCCAACACUGGCAGGGAGAAUCAUCAUCACAAUUCUGUUGUUUGAAUGUUUCCAAUGUUCAAAUGCCCUAAUAUUAAUAAAUUAUCCUCUGCUAUGUCUUAAGGACUGUAAAGUGUUUUUGAAAGAGUUGGGGUUUUUUUGCUUUGUUUU